AACGAACGCUGGCGGCAUGCCUAACACAUGCAAGUCGAACGAGACCUUCGGGUCUAGUGGCGCACGGGUGCGUAACGCGUGGGAACCUGCCCUUAGGUUCGGAAUAACUCCCCGAAAGGGGUGCUAAUACCGGAUAAUGUCUUCGGACCAAAGAUUUAUCGCCUUUGGAUGGGCCCGCGUUGGAUUCGCUAGUUGGUAGGGUAAAAGCCUACCAAGGCGACGAUCCAUAGCUGGUCUGAGAGGAUGAUCAGCCACACUGGGACUGAGACACGGCCCAGAAUCCUACGGGAGGCAGCAGUGGGGAAUAUUGGACAAUGGGCGAAAGCCUGAUCCAGCAAUGCCGCGUGAGUGAUGAAGGCCUUAGGGUUGUAAAGCUCUUUUACCCGGGAUGAUAAUGACAGUACCGGGAGAAUAAGCUCCGGCUAACUCCGUG
rnacentral:rRNA from 1 species